AGUGAACGCUGGCGGUAGGCCUAACACAUGCAAGUCGAACGGCAGCACAGUAAGAGCUUGCUCUUACGGGUGGCGAGUGGCGGACGGGUGAGGAAUACAUCGGAAUCUACUUUUUCGUGGGGGAUAACGUAGGGAAACUUACGCUAAUACCGCAUACGACCUACGGGUGAAAGCAGGGGAUCUUCGGACCUUGCGCGAUUGAAUGAGCCGAUGUCGGAUUAGCUAGUUGGCGGGGUAAAGGCCCACCAAGGCGACGAUCCGUAGCUGGUCUGAGAGGAUGAUCAGCCACACUGGAACUGAGACACGGUCCAGACUCCUACGGGAGGCAGCAGUGGGGAAUAUUGGACAAUGGGCGCAAGCCUGAUCCAGCCAUACCGCGCGGGUGAAGAAGGCCUUCGGGUUGUAAAGCCCUUUUGUUGGGCAAGAAAAGCAGCAGGUUAAUACCCCGCUGUUCUGACGGUACCCAAAGAAUAAGCACCGGCUAACUUCGUG
rnacentral:rRNA from 1 species